rnacentral:rRNA from 1 species
AAUGGCCGCGGUACUUUGACCGUGCUAAGGUAGCGCAAUCAAUUGGCUCUUAAUUGGGGUCAGGUAUGAAUGGAAUCACGUGGUUCAGCUGUCUCUUUUGUAAUUAUUCGAAGUUACUAUGUAAGUGAAAAAGCUUACAAUUAGAAAAAAGACGAGAAGACCCUUAGAGUUUACCUUAAAGUGAAAUUAAUAACAUGUUCAUAAUAGUUUAGUUGGGGCAACAUAGGAGCAAAUAAAAUUAUAUUUGAAUUAAUCUCCUAAAUAUAAUCAACCGAUGAUUUAUAAAAGUGAAUAAACUACCUUAGGGAUAACAGCAUAAUGUAAUAAAUAAGUUUGUGACCUCGAUGUUGGACUAGGAAACUUAAAGGCUAGCCGUCUUUAUAGGAAAGUUCUGUUCGAACUGUUAUUCCUACAUGAUCUGAGUU